UCUCCGUAGGUGAACCUGCGGAGGGAUCAUUACUGAGUGAGGGCUCACGCCCGACCUCCAACCCUUUGUGAACCAAACUUGUUGCUUCGGGGGCGACCCUGCCGGCACUCUGUCGCCGGGCGCCCCCGAAGGUCUCCCAACACUGCAUCUUUGCGUCGGAGUUUGAAACAAAUGAAACAAAACUUUCAACAACGGAUCUCUUGGUUCUGGCAUCGAUGAAGAACGCAGC
rnacentral:misc_RNA from 1 species